rnacentral:rRNA from 1 species
UGAGUAAUGUCUGGGAAACUGCCCGAUAGAGGGGGAUAACUACUGGAAACGGUAGCUAAUACCGCAUAACGUCGCAAGACCAAAGUGGGGGACCUUCGGGCCUCACACCAUCGGAUGUGCCCAGAUGGGAUUAGCUAGUAGGUGGGGUAAUGGCUCACCUAGGCGACGAUCCCUAGCUGGUCUGAGAGGAUGACCAGCCACACUGGAACUGAGACACGGUCCAGACUCCUACGGGAGGCAGCAGUGGGGAAUAUUGCACAAUGGGCGCAAGCCUGAUGCAGCCAUGCCGCGUGUAUGAAGAAGGCCUUCGGGUUGUAAAGUACUUUCAGCGGGGAGGAAGGCGGUGAAGUUAAUAGCUUCACCGAUUGACGUUACCCGCAGAAGAAGCACCGGCUAACUCCGUGCCAGCAGCCGCGGUAAUACGGAGGGUGCAAGCGUUAAUCGGAAUUACUGGGCGUAAAGCGCACGCAGGCGGUCUGUCAAGUCGGAUGUGAAAUCCCCGGG